rnacentral:rRNA from 1 species
GUGGGGAAUUUUGGACAAUGGGGGCAACCCUGAUCCAGCGACGCCGCGUGAAGGAUGAAGGUCUUCGGAUUGUAAACUUCUUUUGAUGGGGAUGAAUGCCCUGGUGAAUAGCCAGGGGUGACAGUACCCGUUGAAUAAGCCACGGCUAACUACGUGCCAGCAGCCGCGGUAAUACGUAGGUGGCAAGCGAUACUCGGAAUCACUAGGCGUAAAGCGCAGGUAGGCGGUUCGGUAAGUCUUUUGUGAAAGCUCCCGGCUCAACUGGGAGAGGCCAAGGGAAACUGCCGGACUAGAGUGUGGUAGGGGAUACUGGAAUUCCUGGUGUAGCGGUGAAAUGCGUAGAUAUCAGGAGGAAUACCUAUGGCGAAAGCAGGUAUCUGGGCCAUCACUGACGCUGAGCUGCGAAAGCUAGGGGAGCAAACAGGAUUAGAUACCCCAGUAGUCC